AUAGGUUAGAUAACUAAACAACACCACGCGCGGCGCGCGCUGCCGCUCGCUGCCAGCACCGUCUGGUGACAGAAAUAACAAGCAAUUAAGAUGCUGUUGAGUCAUGUUGAGUUGCACGAAAAGAAAGAUGAAUCUAUCUUCACCGAAGUUCGUCAAAAUGUUUAGUAUAGGAACAAAUCAUUUCACUUGGAUAUAUGCAUAGCCAGUUUGACCAACUCCGAUUAAUUUUAAUCGUUAAUUAAAGGAUUGCCAACGUAACAAAAUACAAUGCUGUAUUCUGAUGGACAGUGGUCGAUAUUGCCGUAUUCAAUUGCCUUCCGAAAUUCUGCGAUUGUCUCCUCAUAGCUGGAUUCUGUAGGUAAGUUCCUGCAAAAAUGCAAAUUUUACUAUGACGGUUUAUAUUGUUUUGCAACAAUUCGUUAGACGUUAUUUUCUAUUUGAUUUUCUAUAUGUACCUCUUCUUUGAAAUAACAUUUAAUUUAAGGAAUAUUAAAUCACCAUUAUUUAGUCAUAUUAUUGGGUUAAUUUAAUUUUAUCAAUUUAACAAAACUCACUAAACUCACUAAACAAACUCACUAAA